rnacentral:rRNA from 1 species
CAGGCCUAACACAUGCAAGUCGAACGGCAGCACAGGAGAGCUUGCUCUCUGGGUGGCGAGUGGCGGACGGGUGAGGAAUACAUCGGAAUCUACCUUUUCGUGGGGGAUAACGUAGGGGAACUUACGCUAAUACCGCAUACGACCUUCGGGUGAAAGCAGGGGACCUUCGGGCCUUGCGCGGAUAGAUGAGCCGAUGUCGGAUUAGCUAGUUGGCGGGGUAAAGGCCCACCAAGGCGACGAUCCGUAGCUGGUCUGAGAGGAUGAUCAGCCACACUGGAACUGAGACACGGUCCAGACUCCUACGGGAGGCAGCAGUGGGGAAUAUUGGACAAUGGGCGCAAGCCUGAUCCAGCCAUACCGCGUGGGUGAAGAAGGCCUUCGGGUUGUAAAGCCCUUUUGUUGGGAAAGAAAAGCAGUCGGUUAAUACCCGGUUGUUCUGACGGUACCCAAAGAAUAAGCACCGGCUAACUUCGUGCCAGCAGCCGCGGUAAU